AGGUAUGGAGUUUUCUGUGCAACGUGGAACUAGGAUGGAUCAGGCAGAAAUUGGAGCUGGAUAAGUUUUCAGUGGUACAGGCAUUGCAAGGUAUAAGCAGAAAAGCCACAGGAAGCCUAACACAGCAUGAAUGUUACUCGAUGAACCCUGACAUGACAGUGGGAUGCUGGAGGACAAGGAUUUUAAGUCUUGAUUCUGUAAGUAAUGAGAAAAAGCAUGAAGAACAGUUCCAGGAGGGAAGGAGAAGGAAGACUGUACUGUGUAUUCUGCUCUGUUGUCCUUUCAUAUUGAUAGCCCAGCUUCCAAACUACUACUCCAGUUUUAUGGAACGUGGAUGUCCUGCCUACUAGGAAUAACUUCAGUUAUCUUCUGUUGAUGUCUGGAGAUGGGAACAGAUGCAAACAUAGAGAGAAACAGAUACUUCAGUGCCAGACUUCAUGUUAUGCUGUGAAGGUUUCUGAAAGGAUGCUCUAGAAAGGGGGAAGAUUUCAGGACAGCUUCAGCACCCCAUCAGGGGCUGUUCUGGGGCUGAUUGCUGCAAGCAGUGCUGUGCUGUCCCAUGAGUAUCCCUG
rnacentral:lncRNA from 1 species